rnacentral:hammerhead_ribozyme from 1 species
AUACUGCUGAGGAGUCCCAUACUAGGAUGAAACGGAUGUCCAGUAC